UGAGGAAUAUUGGUCAAUGGACGCAAGUCUGAACCAGCCAAGUAGCGUGCAGGAUGACGGCCCUAUGGGUUGUAAACUGCUUUUAUAUGGGGAUAAAGUGGGGAACGUGUUCCCUUUUGCAGGUACCAUAUGAAUAAGGACCGGCUAAUUCCGUGCCAGCAGCCGCGGUAAUACGGAAGGUUCGGGCGUUAUCCGGAUUUAUUGGGUUUAAAGGGAGCGUAGGCUGUCUAUUAAGCGUGUUGUGAAAUAUACCGGCUCAACCGGUGGCUUGCAGCGCGAACUGGUCGACUUGAGUAUGCAGGAAGUAGGCGGAAUUCAUGGUGUAGCGGUGAAAUGCUUAGAUAUCAUGACGAACUCCGAUUGCGCAGGCAGCUUACUGUAGCAUAACUGACGCUGAUGCUCGAAAGUGCGGGUAUCAAACAGG
rnacentral:rRNA from 1 species